UUUUCAUCUUAAGGUUACAGUAGACAGUGUGUAACCUUAAGUUUUCAAAGACUACUUUUUAUGACUUUUCUUAUCUUCCCUUCUAGCCCACCACCUACCAGAGGUAUUGGAAAAGAACGGAUACGGAGGAAGUGGACCCAUUUAGAGUUUUCAGGUUUGAAAAAAGGAUGGAAAAGAACUCAAAUUCAGAGAAUCCCAUUUCUUCAGAUGCUUCUGUCAGGACUCCAUGUCAAUCUCAACUCCUUCAUUCUUGUCCUCAAGUGUUUCUGUCAGGCUGUUUGCACUCACAUCUUCAAGAGCUGCCAGAUCAAGAGAGGGCAGAGGGUUCCUCCAAUACUGGAAUGUAUUAUACUGCCAAAACUCUUCAGGCUGCUGGCUGUGCACCCGGUCGGCUACCUGCGGGCUUCCCGCG
rnacentral:lncRNA from 1 species